CCCUUAGAUGUUCUGGGCCGCACGCGCGCUACACCGACGAAGUCAGCGAGCAUGUCCUACGCCGACAGGUGCGGGGAAUCUUGUCAAACUUCGUCGUGAUGGGGAUUGAUUUUUGAAAUUCUUGAUCAUAAACGAGGAAUUCCUAGUAAGCGCAAGUCAGCAGCUUGCGUUGAUUACGUCCCUGCCCUUUGUACACACCGCCCGUCGCUACUACCGAUUGAAUGGUUUAGUGAGAUCUUCGGAUUGGCGCCACUGCAGCUCAGCAAUGGGCUUGGUGGAUGCCGAAAAGUUGAUCAAACUUGAUCAUUUAGAGGAAGUAAAAGUCGUAACA
rnacentral:rRNA from 1 species